ACGGCUCAGUAACACGUAGUCAACAUGCCCAGGGGACGUGGAUAACCUCGGGAAACUGAGGAUAAACCGCGAUAGGUCAUCACUUCUGGAAUGGGUAAUGACUUAAAUCUAUAUGGCCCCUGGAUUGGACUGCGGCCGAUCAGGCUGUUGGUGAGGUAAUGGCCCACCAAACCUGUAACCGGUACGGGCUCUGAGAGGAGGAGCCCGGAGAUGGGCACUGAGACAAGGGCCCAGGCCCUAUGGGGCGCAGCAGGCGCGAAACCUCUGCAAUAGGCGAAAGCUUGACAGGGUUACUCUGAGUGAUUUCCGUUAAGGAGAUCUUUUGGCACCUCUAAAAAUGGUGCAGAAUAAGGGGUGGGCAAGUCUGGUGUCAGCCGCCGCGGUAAUACCAGCACCCCGAGUGGUCGGGACGAUUAUUGGGCCUAAAGCAUCCGUAGCCGGUUCUGCAAGUCUUCCGUUAAAUCCACCUGCUCAACAGAUGGGCUGCGGAGGAUACUACAGGGCUAGGAGGCGGGAGAGGCAAGCGGUACUCAGUGGGUAGGGGUAAAAUCCUCUGAUCCACUGAAGACCACCAGUGGCGAAGGCGGCUUGCCAGAACGCGCUCGACGGUGAGGGAUGAAAGCUGGGGGAGCAAACCGGAUUAGAUACCCGGGUAGUCCCAGCUGUAAACGAUGCAGACUCGUGAUGGGGUUGGGCUUUGUGCCAACCCAGUGCCGCAGGGAAGCCGUUAAGUCUGCCGCCUGGGGAGUACGGUCGCAAGACUGAAACUUAAGGGAAUUGGCGGGGGGAG
rnacentral:rRNA from 1 species